AUUGAACGCUGGCGGCAGGCUUAACACAUGCAAGUCGAGCGAGCGGCGGACGGGUGAGUAAUGCUUGGGAAACUGCCUGAUGGAGGGGGAUAACUACUGGAAACGGUAGUUAACACCGUAUACCAUCAGAUGCGCUCAGACGGGAUUAGCGAGUAGGUGGGGUAAUAGAUCACCUAGGCGACGAUCCCCAGCUGGUCUGAGAGGAUGACCAACCGCACUGGAACUGGAGCACGGUCCAGCCUCCUACGGGAGGCAGCAGUGGGGAAUAGUGCACAAUUGGCGCAAGCCAGAUGCAGCCAUGGCGCGUGUGUGAAGAAGGCCUUCGGGUUGUAAAGCACUUUCGGCGAGGAGGCGUUACUCGCAGAGGAAGCAACGGCUAACUCCGUGCCAGCGGCCGCGGUAGUAG
rnacentral:rRNA from 1 species